rnacentral:rRNA from 1 species
AUUGAACGCUGGCGGCAUGCCUUACACAUGCAAGUCGAACGGCAGCACGGGGGCAACCCUGGUGGCGAGUGGCGAACGGGUGAGUAACAUAUCGGAACGUGCCCUGGAGUGGGGGAUAACUAGUCGAAAGACUAGCUAAUACCGCACACGAUCUACGGAUGAAAGUGGGGGAUCGCAAGACCUCAUGCUCGUGGAGCGGCCGAUAUCUGAUUAGCUAGUUGGGGGGUAAAGGCCUACCAAGGCAUCGAUCAGUAGCUGGUCUGAGAGGACGACCAGCCACACUGGGACUGAGACACGGCCCAGACUCCUACGGGAGGCAGCAGUGGGGAAUUUUGGACAAUGGGCGCAAGCCUGAUCCAGCAAUGCCGCGUGAGUGAAGAAGG